UACGAAGGGUGCAAGCGUUAAUAGGAAUUACUGGGCGUAAAGCGCGCGUAGGUGGUUUGUUAAGUUGAAUGUGAAAGCCCCGGGCUCAACCUGGGAACUGCAUCCAAAACUGGCAAGCUAGAGUAUGGCAGAGGGUGGUGGAAUUUCCUGUGUAGCGGUGAAAUGCGUAGAUAUAGGAAGGAACACCAGUGGCGAAGGCGACCACCUGGGCCAAGACUGACGCUGAGGUGCGAAAGCGUGGGGAGCAAACAGG
rnacentral:rRNA from 1 species